ensembl:lncRNA
AUCCGGUCGGACUCGGUGCCGUCAGAGGUUCGGGACUGGCUGGCUUCCACUUUCACCCGGCAGACGGUUGUGAUGCUGCGCCGUAACGAGGACAAGCCACGCUUCCGCAGCAUCGUUCAUGCAGUGCAGGCCGGCAUCUUUGUGGAGAGCACUGGCUCAGUGAGUUGGAGAUCUUUGCCAUCAUUUUUGCAGCUGCCAUUCAUGACUACGAGCACACAGGGACCACCAAUAACUUCCAUAUUCAGACAAGGUCAGACACCGCCAUGUUGUACAAUGACCGAGCUGUUCUGGAGAACUACCACGUCAGUGCUGCAUAUCGCCUUCUACAGCACAGUGAUGACAUGAACAUUCUGUCUAAUCUCUCCAAAGACGAGUGGAGGUUUUGGAGAUCAGGCGGCUCGAGGAGAUCUGGGGCAGCGAGAUACAGCGGCUGUGGUGAUGCGACAGUCAUGCUGGCGCAACAGAAGGUUUUUUUAGCUAUUUUUUGAUGCAGAC